UGUAACCAGAGAACAGAGCACACAGCACUUUGGAAAUGAAUUGAAACUGCAUAGAAUAGGAGAAGAAAAUCAGAUCUGAGUCCUGCUGAAGUCUUGGGCUCCUUCAACAAUUGGGGAGGCAACGCAAAACCCCAAGACAAUGGUUUUCAGUACAUGAGCUGAAGCUUCUGGCUGCUGCAGAAGAGUUUUCCUCUAUGUCUCUCAUGAAACUUCCAUAAAGCAUUUGCAAUGCCUUGACGUUCUGCCAUCCGAGAGGGAAUUAAUCGCCGGGAUGGCAUGAAGAGCACAGCACAGAAAGCAGGCAUGGUCCAGACCUCAAGGGACUAAUUAUGCUCUUAAAGGGGAACUGCUGGGGGACUCCCCGCUCUUUGGGAGGGCUGCCAAGGCCCCGUCUGUUUGCAUCUCCUCAUCCUGCAGCCAGCGCCCUGACGGCGUGGUAGUGCCCGGUCCUGCUGAUGGUAACGAGACUUCUCCCACCAAACGCCUCAGCUGGCUUUGGGAAGCACCUCCACGCCGAAGGUGAGACACCAACAGCACUUCUGGGGAGGUGCAGCGCCUGUGGGUGAUGGGGACAGGCUCAGGGCUCAGCUGGCUGCAGGCAGCUUCCCUUUUCUCCCUGCUGGGCCUGCUGAAAAAGGUUUAAGGUUGGAAAAAGGAAA
rnacentral:lncRNA from 1 species